rnacentral:rRNA from 1 species
UACGUAGGGUGCAAGCGUUGUCCGGAAUCAUUGGGCGUAAAGCGCGUGUAGGCGGUCCGGUAAGUCCGCUGUGAAAGUCGGGGGCUCAACCCUCGGAUGCCGGUGGAUACUGUCGGGCUUGAGUACGGAAGAGGCGAGUGGAAUUCCUGGUGUAGCGGUGAAAUGCGCAGAUAUCAGGAAGAACACCCGUGGCGAAGGCGGCUCUCUGGGACGGUACUGACGCUGAGACGCGAAAGCGUGGGGAGCGAACAGG